UUUAACCCCCUUUGGGGGUAGAGCUUCUCCAGUAAUCAAAAAUUUUGCUUUACUGACUGACGUUUUCGUCUUUAAAAUAACCCAUUGAAACAUCUUAGGGUUCUCCAAGACACCGUUAGGGAUCUAGUUAGUAGUGGUGAACGAACACUAGACAGGUUUUAGUACUGAUAAGAAUAGACUUCUCUCUAAACCUAAAGACUCUACCCCACAGAUAGUGCAAAGUACCGUGAGGGAAAGUUGAAAGAAUAUGAAAAUAAGUCUAAAUUAAGUUCCUGUUAUCAAAGACUUACCUUUUGCAUAAUGGGCUCGCCAGUGAAUGAUAAGCAAGCCGGAGGCUAUAGUUUAUCUUCCCGAAACCAAGUGAUCCCUCCGUGAACAGUGUUUUUAGCACGCACCGGUGGCUGUGGCAACAUCCUCGGAAGAUUUGCGGAGAGUGGUGAAAUACCAAUCGAACUUGGCUAUAGCUGGUUUUCUACGAAAGGCAUUUAAGUGCCGCCUCGUCUAGUUUCACCCUCGUACUCUUAGCUACGAACCGGUGAAAAAGACGGGAGUGAGUCCUUGGGCGACAAGGUCCAAGGUCCCAUGGGAAACAACCCGAUGCUUUAGUUAAGGUCACCCACACCCCCUCUAACGUACCUAGGGGAUGAUUAGUAACCAUACCUAAAGUAGGCUUGGAAACAGCCAUCUUAGAAUGACCACGUAACAGUACAAGGUACGCUAGUCCUCCCCUUGAAUUAAGGUGUCUUCUUAACCAAAACUAAGCCCUGGGUAGUAGAACGUACAGAUAACUUCUUCGUUAGAUAGUCUGUAGCGCCACUGCGAGCAUGAGUAAUAGUUGUGUCUAGGCUUUUAAAUCGGCCCUUUAGAUCUUAUCCAAGGGUCUUUAGAGAUUUUCCAGGAAAACCUCUCUAAUUUCACCGUUCUUUUGACCUGUAGACAUAAUUCCCCCCUUCCCUUUUUAGAAGGAACUCGGCAAAAGGGAUACGUUACUCCCCCCGAACGUCGACUGUUUACCAAAAACAUAGCCCCCAGAUAUUUAUUGGAGGUGACGCCUGCCCGAUGACCCCUCUUAACCUAAAUAACUUUAGGGAACAAGGGUUCAAUGGCCGCGGUAUUUCUGACCGUGAUAAUGUAGCGAAAUCAAUCGUCACUUAAUUGCUGACCGGUAUGAAAGGUAUAACGAACGUUCCCCUGUCUCCUAAAAAGUGGCUAUGAAAUUGUAGGGGCCGUGCAUAUACGGCCCAUUCUCUGUAAGACGAAAAGACCCUAUUGAGCUUUACUAUACUCUUCCUGCUCUCCUAAAGUAACCUGGUAACCCCAGCUUUAUUUUAACCCUAGGAAGAGGGGUAGUUUCGUUGGGGCGACGACCUUCCAAACAGUAACGAAGGUUAACCAAGGUUCUUAAAUAGAAAGUAGCCUGACUGUUAGGGCUAUACCCCGCACAGACACUCCUGUGGGUCUAAGUGAUCCAUCCCGUUUUAAAAGACUGGAUGCCAAAACAUAAAAGUUACCAUAGGGAUAACAGCGUAAUUUUACUGAAGAGUUCUUAUCGAUAGUAAAGAUUGCGACCUCGAUGUUGAAUUGCGGUAUCCUGAGGGUGCAGCCGCUCUCAAGGGUUGGUCUGUUCGACCAUUAAAACCGUACAUGAUUUGAGUUCAUUCCGCCGUCAGGCAGGAAGGUUUCUAUCUACAGAGAAAUAACCUAAGCAGAGGGAGGUAGUACGAAAGGACCCCUCUCUCUUCCCCUCUGGGAAACCUAAGGGAACGGAGCUAUUUCUGUAUGCCACUAAGAAAGCAUCUCCCGCUUAGGAGUAUAUCCC
rnacentral:rRNA from 1 species